rnacentral:ncRNA from 1 species
UAAGGGGUGCUCGUACUUUUGUACGGGCUGAGAUUACACCCAUGAACCUGAUACGGGUAAUGCCGUCGUAGGGAACAAG